AGUAGGCGACGGCGAUGCCCCCCAGGCGGCCGAGGGAGCGGGUGUCGAGGCUGGCAGCCCCGGACACCAGGCUGCAGACCACGAGCGGCAGGAUGACCAUGCGCAGCAUGCGCAGCAGCAGCUCCCCGGGGAAGGCCAGACUCAUGGAUACAUGUAGACCUACAGAUCCUUACCCUGUGGCUGGAGCUCCUGGGAAUUGUCACCACAACAGUGUUCACCACCACCUUCCUCAGAGCUCAAUGCAGUCUUGACUUGCAGCUUGUUCACACGUGACUCAAGAUACCAGAAAAACAUCCUCGAGGCAGCCCGAAGCUGGCAGCGCGAAUCCCCCUGCGCUUAACCUUGCUUUCGAGACGAAAAGCGAAGAUCGGAGCAGUGGAAGCGGAGCUAUUUCGGUGACACAGUGCCACCCACUGUCGGAGGGACAGACAGCACCCUGGCCCUGCUCGCCCAUGGGCUGCGCUUGCUGCUGGGAGAGCCGAGAUGUGUCUGCAACAAUAUUCAGCCGGCAGCCUGCAGCUCUCCAUCCCGCUGUGUCAAUGCACACACACAGAAAGGAUGACGUGGGGACGUGGGUCAGACCCAUCACGCCGAGGACCCACAGCCCAAAGUUUUGUCCCCUUUGCAAGAAGUCUGCUCGAGAGAAAACCCUCCCCAGCUGCAGCUUAACAUCAAGAAAUACCCAGAAGAGAAAGCUGCCAACCAUGGGGUCGUCUCCUCAACCCUUACCACAUCAACCAGCCCUGUACGUGGCAGCAGAUCUUUUUUUUUUUUUUUUUUUUUGCCAUUUCUGGAUGGUGGAAAACAUCUGGAGUGUGGGAUCUCAGUGCCAGCAGAUCUUGUUAACAAGCUACUCAAGUGCUCGUGUGAAGCACCAGGAGAGUGGGUUACGUGUCUUAUUGAUCUAACGUCAGCCAUCACCCCCAGGAAUUGAUGUUUUCAAUAGAGAAAGCAGAUUAGCAAUAGGCUCGUGGAUGUUUGGCCAGUUCGGGAGAUGGUAGGGUACAAAUGGCUUCCCCUAAUGAGAUAAAACUCACAGGCAGGAUCUAGCAGAGGAGGACCCUGCUGUGAUCAAGGUGCUAUGACACAGCCGUGGUUUACUGGAUUAAAAAAUCCCACUGUUGCUAAUUAUUCCUGAACAUUAACACUGAACGUUACGACCACAAUACUGUGCCUUUGGGGAGGAGCAGUGAAACACCUGGGGAACGGCAGUGCGCGUUGCUGAGGAUCUGUGAAGCUCUGGGCAUAGGAUUCACUAUUCCUGACUGAAAAUCUUGGCAUCUCUGUGGAUGGAAACAGCGAGCUAAAAACAGCACCUGGAAAAAAAUACAGGCAAUGUGAGGCAGAGAGGGCUUCCUCAGCUGAAAGGAAAAAAAAAAUAAUAAUAAAAGACAAGAAGCCAGAAAGGGUAUUGGAGAAUCACAGAAAGGUUGAGGUGGGAAGGGACCUCUGGAGGACAUCUGGUCCAACUCCCUGCUCAGGCAGGGCCACCCAGAGCUGCUGGCUCUGGGUCCGGGUGGCUUCUGAAGAUCUGCAGAGCUCUCUCCAGCAAGCCCAGGUCCCUCUUGUACUGGGGAGCCCAGUCCUGGACCCAGCACUCCAGGUGUGGCCUCAGCAGUGCGGAGCAGAAGGGAAGGAUCAGCUCCCUCCAUCUGAUGGCAGCACUUCCAGUGCAGCCCAAGAGACUGUUGGCUUUUUUUGGUGCAAAGAUGCCUUGCUGGGCCAUGUUCAAUCUGGUGUCCACCAGGAUCUCCAGGUUCUUCUCUGCAGAGCCACUUUCCAGCCUGCUGGCCCCCAGCACACACAGGAUCUUGCAUUUCCCUGUGCUAAACGUCAUGAGAGCCCAGCUCUCCAGCCUGGCCAGGUCCCUUUGGAUGGCAGCCAGGUCCCAUCUGGUGUUCCAGCCGCUCCUCCCGGUUUUGUAUGACCUGCACGUUCACUGCGGAUGCACCCUGUGCUGUCAUUCAAGUGGCACGGGGGAGAUGGUGAAGAGCUUUGGCUCCACUACCAGCCCCUGGGGCACACCACUUCCCCCCAGGUGGACUUUGUGCCACUGAUCACAACCUUCUGGACCACUCAGAUGGUUUUCAACCCACCUCACCGUCCUUUCCUCUAACCUGUACUAUGUCAGCUUGCCUGUGGGGACGUUAGGGGAGACAGAGCCAAAAUCCACACCAAAAGCAAGGUGAAAUAAACGCAGUGCUCCCCACUCACUGCCCAGCCACCUCGCUGCAGGAGGCGAUCGGGUUGGGUAAGCACCAAGUUUCCCCUCCGUAUUUCCCCUUGUGCUGAAACAGCAGCAGAGCACCAGGACGUGAUAUUUUAAGAAAACAAUGAGAUUAAGAGACAGGCACUAAGUGUUCGCAGCGCUUCUGACAGAGAUAAACUGCGGUAUCGGUUUCUAUCAGAUUGAGAGCACGCGGCCUGCACUUCAGGGGGGAGGCUUAAUGAUUUAACAGGGCUUUCCCAUCUCUCGCUAGCAAGCUCCAGCAGCACAGAUAGGCGAGCAUCAAGCGGAGACAAUUGCAGCUGUAAAUAAAUAAUGAACCCGCUGCACGCGGCGGCCCUCAUCCAGGAGCCAAAUCCUGAGGAUGCUGCUCGAGCAUCUUUCACACGAGACACAAGCCAGGUUUCCCCGUGCCCAAUUAUGUUCCACAUCUCCCGGAGGAGGGAUAGUGUUUGUCUCUCUGCUUUCUUUCUACCACCCCUGGGGCUACAGCGUGCGUUUAUUAUUUAUUUAUUUAUUUAUUUUCAGGCUGUUUCACCAGCCCUUAAUGUUCAUGGGAGGGUACAGUGCUCACGCACAUAGUGGGAGGGGGCCAAAGAGGAGGGGUUUGGCUUCUGCAUCAUUCCUUUCUUCUUUUUAUUGCCUGCCUCCUUCCACACCUUUCCCACAGUUUCUGUUUCCCCACUAAGCUACUUUAUGUCACCCUGCUAAGCAAGGACAUCCUGCAGCAUGUCUCUGUGGCGUCGCUGCUCUGUCGCCUCCACUCUUACUCUUGACUAGGUAGAAACCUCUGAUCUUUGAUGAGAUGGAAAAGGAAGAAAGACCUGAAACUCCCACAUGUUCCCUGUCUGCUGGGGAACAGGGGCUUACAACUCCUGCAUCCUCGCUGCCCUCAUCACAGAGGAGGGAUGUCUUCAUCCUCACUGCGUAAUAUUGAGUCUUCAGCCACCGAGGGCCAGCAUUUAAUCUUUUAAACACGACAACAUAUGUGGCUCCGACAAGUCCUACCAAGAUUUCUCUGCAAGGAAAAAUGAAGCUUACACGGUACCGACUGCUCUAUUUCCUCUUAACUCCAGAUCAUCGGCAGGUAUUAACUAUGACAGCCAUUAGCUGUGACAGGUAUUAACCAUGACAGCUAAUAAACACACAGCUUAUCCUGAUGCAAUUAAAGAACAGAAAAGGGGAAGAACGUGACUAAAAAUCAAGAUCAAAUAUACAGAUCAGCGAAGAUGAAAAGUCCUGAAAAUGCCACAAAAUCUACCAGCCUCCCUCAUUGCUGCCACUGGGAAAAAAAAAAAAAAAAAAAAAAAAGAUAUUUUUAAAUACAAUGAUAGAGGGCAGCAAAUAGACCAAAGAAGGAAAGAAAGGUGUGCUUUCCAUGACCCUCCCCGCAAGAAAUCCUCCUCCUUGCAGCCGUCUAUGUGACCAUUCACCUUCCUGAUUAUUUCUGAACACCCUGCUUAGACCACCCUACCAAUGACAAACUCGAUUGAGUUGCUUCCCUGAAAUGAGGAUGUCUACACAGAUGUGCACCCCAGGAAGAUCUGGCCCCAAAUCCCACAUGAGAGGCUCUGGCAGUCCGCAAGUGUUCCGUGACUUGUGGGUGCUCAGCAUCUCCUGGGCAGGGUUUGUCCUCAAAUGACAGAAGGGAGGAAAAAAAAAAGAAAAAAAAAGAAAAAACCUUCUCUCAAAACACAAGUGAAACGUGCUUCUGAUGCAAAAUUAGCAUUUGGCAGAGAAGUGACUCACAGUGACUGAGGGCUUCGUGCAUCCCUUCUCUGAAGCAUCCAGGAUCUUUUUCUGGCUCGUGAAUCACCCGAAAAUGGCAGCUGAGCGUGUCUUGUCCUCAGCAAAGCCGAGGGUGUUGAGAAGAAGAUGAAGGGCUCUGCUCUGCUCUCUGAAACGGCACCGCUGGCAAUGUUUGUGAUGGGAGGAAGAGGGGAAACAGCAUCGCCAUGGGGUAAAACAUGGAAAGUUUGAUUUGCAGUGAAUUCUUGGGCUUUGGAGACUGUGAGCUGAAGGUGGAUUCAGCCAUACACAGAGCAGGGUCCUGCGUGGGAGGCACCAGAUAUUUAAAAACACGCGUGCAAAUAGGGAUCCUUUUUAUGGCCGAAAACAUUCCUCUCUGUCAGCAGAGGAUUCCCUUUGGGUAGUUGCUCACCACAAAAAAACCCUUCCCGGGCACCCCUCAUUACUAAUCCCCCUGAUCCAUAUUUCCAGCACAUUCCUAGUGCAGUCUCAACACCACACCGUUGUCAUGGUUUAACCCAAGCUCAUCCUAACGUAGCUCAUGUUUUGCAGGAAAUGUGGGCACAACAGCAAAGAAACACGCAGGGUAAAUCCCAGACGUCCUCAGACUUGUAAGGAAGGAGAGAAUCCCUUCCCACCUGGAAGGAGAGCUGUAGGACGUUGCUGAUGAAGGAGACUCAAGGAGGAGCCCACGGGGGCUUUCUGAAAGGGCGAUGUGCAGUAGGAUCGCCCACCUGCCCCGAAGUACCUGCAGAACAUUUCUGCUGAGCGCUAGAAGAGCAAUUCGAGAGCAACAUCGGGCCGGUCACACAAAGCCUGCCUGCAGAAAGCUGCCUGAGCAAGACUGCCACAUCGGGCUCUUCAGCUCAGCAUGGCAACAAAGACAGGCAAGGGGGGAAAAAAAAAAAAAAAAAAAAAAGGAGUAAAAUUCAAAUACUGCCAUUGCUUUCACGGUAAUCAGCACAGCAUUAUGCAGAAUGAUUUGUAAUUUUACACUGACGGCUAUUAUCUUCUGGCAGCCACCAUGACUGAAACAAAUGUCUGAUAUUCCAAGGGGCUGGGUUUUUGUGUCUUUGACAAGAACCUCACCACAAUAAGGAGACCAAAGAGAGGGAAACGUUGUUCUGCAGCCUCUGUGUCUACCCUGAUGUAUGAAUUGUGGCAGUCCUUCAUUGGCGCUCAUUAUGCUCAGUGCUGACGGCACUGCUUUGAUGUCAACCUCACUUGAAAUGUCUUUUGCAUAGCAAUAGAAGAAGCACGCCCCAUGGACUUUGCUUGUAACAUUCUCCUUUUCCUUCGGGUGGAGAAGUGCUGUGACAGGGCACGCAACAAGAAACUCCCCAGCUUGGCCCAACAUGAUGUUAGGCAAAUUCGCAAUAUGAAUAAGGAAUGUCAAAGCAAUAUCCAGCCUCUCAUUUGAGCAGAAAUAUCUAAAUUUUUUUUUUUUUUUUAAUGCCUUCUAGGUAGACAAAGCAGGCAGGGAAUCCCUGGGUAAUAAGUGAUUAAAGAACUUCAGCUGUGCAGGUUUACCCCAAACCUUCUCAUCUUCCUUAUGGCUCAUAUCAUUAGAGAAGGGAGGUAGGAAAGCAAGAAGGAAGAAAAAAUACAGAGAAUGAGAAAUACCCUAUUUUGUCUUGGCUUUUGUCUUGUAUUUUUAGCCAAAACUCUCAGAAAUCCGAAUUUUGAACUGCCCGAUCCUGGACACUGAAUGGGAUCAAACACAAAAUAGGAUGAGGCUGGAAUUCCCCAGUUUGGGUUCAUUCAUAAUCCGUGAUAUUCCUAUUUCUCCUGCCAUGAGGUCUUCUUCGCUCAGCCUGAGCUGCUCAGGUUCUCCCAGCAACCAGAAGAUGCUGCCCUCCACAGGGAUUUCCCUAUAGUGCUAUUUUAAGAAAACUUUAGAAAUUUGAAUCAAAGAAAAACUGCCUAGGCCAGCAGUUUGCCUGGGUCAAGCACGGCUAAUUAUCAAUCAAGCUUUUCAUUAAAUGUUCGAGUUUUGAUAGAAGAAGACAGAAAAGGAUUGAGUACACUGUCUAGGAAGUUUUUGUAGGGAAGAAUUUUGCCUUUCAAGCAAACCAGCUAGACUUUGCCCAAAGCUGAUCCACACUUAAUGAAAUUCAUUGCUUUAUAGGGAUAUUUCUAGUUUUUUUUUUUUUUUUUUUCUGGCUACAUUUGAUGGUUUAUUUAAGGUGUUGCUGGCAUGAAUGAACUGUUUCUGAGCACUUUUUUUAAAGCUUUUAUGGUCUUUGCUUUUAUCCUGGAAGUGUUCGUGUGCCCAACAGCUGACAAGCUGUUUCCAGCUCUAGCAUCUCGUCCAAUAAAAUAUAUUAACAUUC